UCAAAACAUGAUUAGUGAGAAUCCUGCUAUUACAAGUUUUAAAUGUAAAUAUGUAGCAUAUUUAUAUUUUGGUACUCCUAUUUUAAAUGGUAGAAAUAAGUGCUUUCUUUUGAAUAUCUCGUCCAAUCUAAUCCUUAACUAAAUAUCUAUUAGGGAAUUCAAAUUUCUUUCAGUGGUGGGGGGCUUGCUCUAAUUAAGAUUGUCCUUUAUUCUCUCCUUAUUUAUCUCAUUCAGACCAUUAAGCCUACCUCCUAUUCUUGUAAUAGAUUUCAUAGACUUUUUAAUAAAUUCUUCUUGGGUUUGAGCACUAUAUUACAAAAAUUUACUGGUCCUCUUAGCUCGAGUGUUGCAGUACUCCCAAGAAACUGGCUCCUGCCAUAAAAGUAUAUUUGGCUCGGUGAAUACUUUCUAUUUUAAAUUUUGGUGAAAUUUCAGAAAGUGUGAUAGCCUUUGGGCUACUUUUCUAAUGAAAAAUAUUGUAAAGGAAAACACCUAACCAUUUGCUCCUACAAAUUGAGAGAUUCUCCUUCUUGGAAACAGGUUUCUUCUAUCAAGUGGGCCAUGAUGGAGUUAAUUCAAUAGAGCAUUAGCCGUGGUUGCUCAUUUUUUUGGCUGGAUGUCAUCAAACAUCAAGUGAAUGCCCCAGAAUUCGUAGUGGACCUCAAUCUACCAACACCAUUUUUGAGGCUAACAAUGACUUUAUAAAUUUUCAAUGCUUCUUAAAUUCUAUGUUAGAUAACUUUGAAGCGAAAUAUGCUGAUGGAUUCCCAAUUAAAAAAAAAAUGAAGUUUGAUGAUGCCUUCUUAAUGCCAUUGUUGUUAUCAUGAAGAAAGUAUUAAGCAUGUCUUUAUAAAUCGACCCAUUGCGGCCAUGGUUUGGUUAUGAUGUGAAAUUAUCUUCAGAAAUAAUAUUUUUGAAUUUAGUGC